rfam:Lupinus angustifolius cultivar Tanjil contig_14027, whole genome shotgun sequence.
AUAUAUGUUGAUCCAUCACUAAUGCACCGGAUCCCAUCAGAACUCCACAGUUAAGUGUUCUUGGUUGAGAGUAGUACCAGGAUGAUUGACCUCCUGGGAAGUCCUCGUGUUGCACCUC